rnacentral:rRNA from 1 species
UAUCCGUGAAACCGCCMUGCMGGUAACGGGUGGCGUUCAGCUGCAGCCAGUGAUCAGGCCGGCUAGGUUGUUGKGUAUUGCGCUGGCGCAUCUAUCAGUCGGAGUAUGAUAGGAUAGUCACCGGUAGACGGUGGUCCCGCCGCAAGGUCGGGAUAUGUGUACCGGGUGGGUGCCGGAGCAUGCUAUCCGUCUGGGGGCUGUCUAGCCGGUGCACUUUCUCUGUGGUGAACACCACGACCGGUGGUAUUGCCAGUCUGCUGUGUCCAAGUCGUAUCCGGUAGGUCCUUGUGGCCAACUGGGUGCGAUCACAGGCAAACUCAGUUAACGGCGUAGAGAUGCCCUGGUAUCUYUGCGUGUUAUYGGCUACUGGUUGUCAGCGGGCCUGCUCGAUGUUUUGUUUGUUGUAACCGGCAUCGGGUGGUYUGGUGGGACAUGGUGGUAAGAAUAACUGUGCAAGGCACCGGAGUUAUYGGCCUCAAAUGUGUCCUGUGCCCAUGUUACAAGUGGCMCCAGUGGCAGUGUYGUUAUUGUYUGCCCGGUGUUGGGUYUGAUUGUCGUGUYGCCUGCGCAAAGUAGGCCCGGCAGUGGCUUGACUCGGGAUAGGCAGCGGAUGAUGUUGUCAGCACGGGAUGCAGUGGGCCUAAUAGUCAGUGGUGUAGUGGUAGACGAGCUACCCGACCCGUCUUGAAACMCGGACCAAGGAGUUUAACAUGUAUGCGAGUCAAUGGGCGUUACGAAACCCAAAGGCGCAGUGAAAGUAAAGCUUYGACUUGUYUCGGAGUAAGGUGAGAUCCUGCUGUUACUCGCAUCAGCCUAAUGUCAGCAUCAGGCUAAAGAGCAGUGGGCGCAUCACCGGCCCGUCCCAUGAUGUGGUCAUUGGGUACUGUCUGUGGUUGUUGCCUCUCAUGGGGUGAUGGCCAUGGCGCCARUGYKUYAUYYGGGGSGGKKSCWSUURGGAMWC